rnacentral:misc_RNA from 1 species
AAUACACUCACCACUUUGUCCUCGGAGGUACAUAUGCAAUCUUUCUUUGUUUUCUUUCACAAAAUGCAGUACCGAACGCAGAUAUCAAAACUAUCGGCUGAAUCGCCCGUAUUGCUUGGCCAUCGAAGGUGGCUGUGAUGCCAAUAGGGGAAGACGCUGUUCAUUUUACAAACUGAAAACCAAACAGUUGCUCUGUUGAAACAUUUUGGAGGGAUACUCUUUGGCGCAUUUACCAUGUACAUCCAAUGGUUGUAUUGAAAAACGUGCUUCAUAUAGACCCCGUAAAGUGUGCAUUUUAAAAACACGCACACCCUACCUGUUAACAAUAACGUAUAAAGAACUAUGAUCGUAUUCCCUUGUUCCAGAAUGAAGGGUUUUGGGACUGUUUUCCUGCAGUUCCCGGGUAUCGUGUUGAAGCGGGCAUAAUCGCUGAGUGUUACUGAGAACCUUGCCGUCGGUAACGUAUUGCAGUUGGGAAUGUGUUGGACAUUUGUGGACAAAUUUUCUUGAAUGUGCGUCAACCGACCGUGUUUUCCUUGGGAAGGUUACGUCAGUGACUUGCUGAUAUGUACUUCAGUGAGAGUGAGUGCAGGCAUGGAAGUGUGGUGCUGGGUUUUGCGAACGGAAGUCUUGUUACAAGUGACGGAUGACGAGGCACUUUUGAUGAAGUCGCGAUCCCCAGCUGAUCCAGGCUCAGAGCCCCUCGGCAGUUAUCCGUUUGUCACGCUUCCGUGCUUGGGGUACAGGGAUACGUCACAGAAAAAAGUGUGACAAUUUAUUUCUUGUUAUUUGUAAGCUUUGCUGUCAAAAUUAGUUGAAAGAACUGAUUUUGUUGUAAUUCAAAGAGGGGGUGUAACCCAAACAAUGGAACAGCCCGUAUGCGGUUGGAUCUGCAGGCUGACCAGCAACGCGAAAAGUGCAGCGGCCCUUAUCUCGCCGGCCUAAGUGUAGACUAGCUGUGCCUCGCUUGUUCAAAUAAUGCUGGUAGUUUCGCACCCACGGCAGAAUGCCUUCCUCUUGAUAGCCUAUUUCAGAUUGUAGGCGAUACUUUUGGCCAGUCUGCCAUAAAUUGUCAGCUGACGUGUUUGAUACUUGUGCAUACUAGUUUGGCAGGUCAUUUCAUGAAGCGAGGCCGUUUCUGGGAGUCGUGGUAAGUAGGCAAAUAUCGCUGUGUACUCGUCGUGCGUGCCUCCAAAUCGUGCACACGGCUGGGUUCUAAGUCCACCAUGCGUGAACUUGAAGCGUAGUAAGGUGUACCAUUCCUCCAUGGGUAUGGGUAUUGCUGAUCGGGAAGCCCACACCUGCAGUUGACGACGUCACAAUCGUUGCCUUUCAAAUACAUGUAAAUGUUAACCGCCCUUGUGCAUGAUUGAUAUAGGUUACCAGUGACAUACUGGUAGUUGACUUUAAAACGUGGAAACAACCAUCGGGCUUGGUAUCUCAUUCUAUUUAAUUUUAGAGUUGUUUUAGUGUUAUCAAAGCUUUUUCAGGUAUUGACGACCUGUGUGGAGACUCAUGUCAUCAGUAAGGAAAAGCUUCAGGCUGCCCACUGCGCAGUUGGGACCUGACACGGUGGCGAUCGUCACUGGCGCUGCAGAAGGACUUGGCAAGGGAUUCGCGGAAUGCCUACUCAAGAAAGGCGCAAAGGGUGUCUGCCUGUCGGAUAUCAAUGAACCCAAAGGUCAGGAGACACUUCGGCAACUGGUUGCUGAGUUCGGACAAGAUCGGGUCAUGUUCGUCAAAUGUGACGUCACCUCGGACUCGGACAUGGAAGCUACAUUCUCCAAGACGAUCGAGAAAUUCGGCCGCGUCAAUGUAAUGGUGAAUAAUGCUGGCCUGGCCAAUGAAAGAGAGCCGGAAAUUUGCUACAAUGUCAAUAUUAUGGGCUUAACAAGAGGCACCUUCACUGCCAUUAAAUACAUGAGCCCCGAUAAUGGCGGGAACGGAGGCAAGAUCAUCAACAUUGCGUCUAUGGCAGGUCUUUGGCCCAUUUAUCUUAUGCCAGUUUAUUCCGCAUCGAAACACGCCGUCAUAGGAUUCACCAAAUCUCUUGCGGCCGAUCCUCAAUUCGCCUCAAAAGGCAUAACCUUUAGCAUCUUGUGCCCCGGCUUCGUUAACACGCGUAUCCAGGAGAAAGCACGCCCCCAAGAGUCGGACUUAAGGAAGAUGAUGAAGCUCCAAGCGAGACUUGGUGUAAUAGAGAUCAGUCAGGUUCAGGAUGCCUUUUUGCAACUCCUUCUGGACGAAUCGUGGUCUGGGAAAGUCAUGCUCGUCUCUAAACAGGAUGGUAUAAAAAGUGCUUUGUGAUAGUCCUCAGACACGUACAGCAAACCUACAAUGAGUCUACGAAUUUCGAUUGGCCAGUCUCCUGGCUUUAGCGAAAACAUUGCUUAAGAAGCAUAGAGGGAAAUCCUGAUGAGUGUCAAAUACUCACAAGAGCACCCCAGUGUGUUGUGGUACCCCCAAUUUGCUCUCCUUCAAU